rnacentral:tRNA from 1 species
UAGAAUUUGGUGUAUUUGGGAGCACGAAGAGUUUUGGAUUCUUAGGAGUAGGUUCAAUUCCUAUGAUUCUAG